rnacentral:tRNA from 1 species
GCGAGAGUGGUGGAAUGGCAGACACGCAGCCUUGAGGGGGCUGUGAGAGCAAUCUCGUGCGGGUUCAAAUCCCGUUUCUCGCA